UACGUAGGGUGCGAGCGUUGUCCGGAAUUAUUGGGCGUAAAGAGCUCGUAGGCGGCUUGUCGCGUCGGAUGUUAAAGCCCGGGGCUUAACUCCGGGUCUGCAUUCGAUACUGGCAGGCUAGAGUUCGGUAGGGGAGAUCGGAAUUCCUGGUGUAGCGGUGAAAUGCGCAGAUAUCGGGAGGAACACCGGUGGCGAAGGCGGAUCUCUGGGCCGAUACUGACGCUGAGGAGCGAAAGCGUGGGGAGCAAACAGG
rnacentral:rRNA from 1 species